UUCUGUCCUCCCUUCUCCGCCGGUUUGCAUUUCUCUCCGUUGGGAGCGUCUUUUUGCUUCCCUGCACCGCAGGAUUGCCCCUCGCUCUUCUAAGCCGCGCUCCUUGUCUCUUCAGUUGCACGAACUGCAAAUAGCCUACAAAACAGACUGAAUUGAAGGCGCAACAAAACGUUGCAAUAUGAAGUGCUCCCUGCUCAGGGUUCCAGACGUUACAUUCCCGUUCCCACCCACAAGCAGUUACUCUGAAUCAUCCACUUCCAUGAAAAUAUCACUAAAAAAAUAUUCUGAGAUCUUCGUUGGUUCUUCUUCUUUUUCCUGCUCCUUAGAAGAUCCUUUAUUCUCAGGUAAGUCAGAAAAAAUCUACAAUAAAAAUUA